rnacentral:rRNA from 1 species
CUUGGUCAUUUAGAGGAAGUAAAAGUCGUAACAAGGUUUCCGUAGGUGAACCUGCGGAAGGAUCAUUAAAGAAUCGCCCCGUUUUUCCGAAAAUGGGUUCUAUUCCCACAACCGUGUAUACAUACCUUUGUUGCUUUGGUGGGCCGCCCCUUGGGGCGUUGGCUCCGGCUAACUGCGCCCGCCAGAGGACCCAAACUCUUUUUUAUUUAGUGAUGUCUGAGUACUAUAUAAUAGUUAAAACUUUCAACAACGGAUCUCUUGGUUCUGGCAUCGAUGAAGAACGCAGCGAAAUGCGAUAAGUAAUGUGAAUUGCAGAAUUCAGUGAAUCAUCGAAUCUUUGAACGCACAUUGCGCCCCUUGGUAUUCCGAGGGGCAUGCCUGUUCGAGCGUCAUUAUAACCACUCAAGCCUCGGCUUGGUAUUGGGGUUCCGCGGUCUCGCGGCCCUUAAAAUCAGUGGCGGUGCCGUCUGGCUCUAAGCGUAGUAACUUUCUCGCUAUAGGGUAUAGGCGGUUACUUGUCGGAAUCCCCCUAUUUUUAUAAGGUUGACCUCGGAUCAGGUAGGGAUACCCGCUGAACUUAAGCAUAUCAAUAAGCGGAGGA